GGAUAUGCUUGCAUGUUGUUUAAAAUUACAAUGCUUGUCCUUUAUUAAGUUUAAUGAGAUAUUUCAUAUACCACGUGAUACAUUAGAUCAGCGCAAUGUUUACUGCAUGUUAAUUAAUGCACUGGAAAUAUUACAGUUGAAGAAAAUGAAUACGAGGAUAUUUAUAGCUGCUUUGAUAUUGUCGUUGAUGUGUUGUGUAAAUACACAGAAGUUCCCGAAGAGGGAAGGACGAUAUCGUGAGGGAUUUCCCGGUGGCUUUUUUGUCGGGAACAGAUAUUAUUCUUACCGGGAUCCUCAAACCCGGUCAAGUAUCGGAAACGGAAAUGACCUUUUGGGAGGCGAAAGGAGAAGAACGUUUGGAAGGAAUUGGUAAAAAACAAAUCCAUGCAUAGAUUGAUGCGAACAAUUGCAGUGUCAACCUGACAACCAACAAUUUUAUGUAAAACAGUUUUGCUACCAAAAUGCAACAGUUUAUUACUUCAGUGUGUCUUUUCGCACGUUUGUUUAACUUAAAAAUAUAUGUAAAUGCAGUGCCUUAUACAUCAAAACUAAUUUGCCUUUCCAUCACAUUGUAUUAUGCUGAUUAACGUAGCGUCUAUUUUGACGUUAACGGUUUACAUAAUAAAUAGCACGUACUAAGAAAGAA